UGAGUCGGCCGGAUGACCGCGGCACCACAUCGAUCGGUUCGCCGGCAGGUGUGGCGCUGAGGAAGGUCGGGACUCCACAGGGCAGGGAGCUGGCGUAACGCCAGGCGGGGCGACCCGACGGAAAGUGCAACAGAGAGAAGACCGCCGAUGGACGGGGAAACCCGUCACAGGUAAGGGUGAAAGGGUGCGGUAAGAGCGCACCGGCACCGGGGGCGACCUCGGUGGCCAGGUAAACCCCUCCCGGAGCAAGGCCGAGCAGGAACCGGGCGGCCCGCCCCAUGGUUCCGGGUAGGCCGCACAGAUGGAUGGUCAUCCAAGCGCUUCGGCGCCGGACAGAAUCCCGCCUACAGGCCGACUCACCAA
rnacentral:RNase_P_RNA from 1 species